rnacentral:rRNA from 1 species
AAUGAACGUUGGCGGCGUGGAUUAGGCAUGCAAGUCGAGCGAGAACCGUAGCAAUACGGGGACAGCGGCGAAAGGGAGAGGAAUACGCGGGUACCUACCCUCGGAUCUGGGAUAGCCACGGGAAACUGUGGGUAAUACCAGAUAACGUCUUCGGACCAAAGGUGAGAUUCCGCCCGAGGAGGGGCCCACGUCCUAUAAGCUAGUUGGUGGGGUAAUGGCCUACCAAGGCAAUGAUGGGUACGGGGCGUGAGAGCGUGCCCCCGCUCACUGGGACUGAGACACUGCCCAGACACCUACGGGUGGAUGCAGUCGAGGAUCUUCGGCAAUGGGCGCAAGCCUGACCGAGCGACGCCGCGUGCGGGAUGAAGGCCUUCGGGUUGUAAACCGCCGUCGGAAGGGAGGAAAUGCCUAGGGGUUCUCCCCUAGGUUUGACCUAUCUUCAGAGGAAGUACGGGCUAAGUUCGUGCCAGCCGCCGCGGUAA